rnacentral:rRNA from 1 species
AGGUCAAGCUGUGAAGAGCGCAAGGGGAAUGCCUUGGCACUGAGAGCCGAUGAAGGACGCGACAAGCUGCGAUAAGC